CCUACGGGUGGCAGCAGUGGGGAAUUUUUGGCAAUGGGCGAAAGCCUGACCAAGCAACGCCGCGUGGGUGAUGAAGUAUCUUGGUACGUAAAACCCUUUCGGCAGGGACGAACCUAAUGACGGUACCUGCGGAAGAAGCCCCGGCUAACUCCGUGCCAGCAGCCGCGGUAAUACGGGGGGGGCAAGCGUUGUUCGGAAUUACUGGGCGUAAAGGGCGCGUAGGCGGUUGGAUAAGUCAGCUGUGAAAACCACGGGCUUAACUCGUGGCCUGCAGUUGAGACUGUCUGGCUUGAGUGUGGGAGAGGAGAGUGGAAUUCCUGGUGUAGCGGUGAAAUGCGUAGAUAUCAGGAGGAACACCGGUGGCGAAGGCGGCUCUCUGGACCACAACUGACGCUGAGGCGCGAAAGCUAGGGGAGCAAACAGGAUUAGAUACCCCGGUA
rnacentral:rRNA from 1 species